GACGAACGCUGGCGGCGUGCCUAACACAUGCAAGUCGUGCGAGAAAGUUCCUUCGGGAGCGAGUAAAGCGGCGCACGGGUGAGUAACACGUAGGUAACCUGCCCCCCCAGUCUGGAACAACUAGAGGAAACUCUAGCUAAUGCCGGAUGAGACCACGAUCCCUUCGGGGGUUGCGGCCAAAGAUGGCCUCUACUUGUAAGCUAUCGCUGAGGGAUGGGCCUGCGGGCCAUUAGCUUGUUGGUGAGGUAACGGCUCACCAAGGCUGUGAUGGCUAGCUGGUCUGAGAGGAUGACCAGCCACACUGGGACUGAGACACGGCCCAGACUCCUACGGGAGGCAGCAGUGGGAAUAUUGCGCAAUGGCGAAAGCCUGACGCAGCGACGCCGCGUGGGUGAUGAAGGCC
rnacentral:rRNA from 1 species